rnacentral:rRNA from 1 species
AGUCGAGGGGUAGAACACUUCGGUGUUUGAGACCGGCGCACGGGUGCGUAACGCGUAUGCAAUCUACCUUUUACAGGGGAAUAGCCCAGAGAAAUUUGGAUUAAUGCCCCAUAGUAUAAUUGAAUGGCAUCAUUUGAUUAUUAAAGUUCCAACGGUAAAAGAUGAGCAUGCGUCCCAUUAGUUAGUUGGUAAGGUAACGGCUUACCAAGACGAUGAUGGGUAGGGGUCCUGAGAGGGAGAUCCCCCACACUGGUACUGAGACACGGACCAGACUCCUACGGGAGGCAGCAGUGAGGAAUAUUGGACAAUGGGCGCAAGCCUGAUCCAGCCAUGCCGCGUGCAGGAAGAAGCAUCUAUGGUGUGUAAACUGCUUUUGUACGGGAAGAAACACUCCUUCGUGAAGGAGCUUGACGGUACCGUAAGAAUAAGGAUCGGCUAACUCCGUGCCAGCAGCCGCGGUAAUACGGAGGAUCCAAGCGUUAUCCGGAAUCAUUGGGUUUAAAGGGUCCGUAGGCGGUCUUAUAAGUCAGUGGUGAAAUCUCCCCGCUCAACGGGGAAACGGCCAUUGAUACUGUAGGACUUGAAUUAUUAGGAAGUAACUAGAAUAUGUAGUGUAGCGGUGAAAUGCUUAGAGAUUACAUGGAAUACCAAUUGCGAAGGCAGGUUACUACUAAUGGAUUGACGCUGAUGGACGAAAGCGUGGGUAGCGAACAGGAUUAGAUACCCUGGUAGUCCACGCCGUAAACGAUGGAUACUAGCUGUUGGGCGCAAGUUCAGUGGCUAAGCGAAAGUGAUAAGUAUCCCACCU